UCCCUAGUGUCUCAGAUGGUAAAGAAUCUGCCUGUAAUGCAGGAGACCCGGGUUUGAUCCCUGGGUUGGGAA
rnacentral:tRNA from 1 species